UCCAAAGUGAUGCAGAGGAGAAAUAUGGGGCUAGUUUGACUCUUGCUCAUUUCUCUGAACGGCCAGUCCCAGCUGAGAUGGGGCAAUGAUCCGGGACUUGCUCCUUCUUCUGAGACCCCGUAGCACAGGGGCGAGGCAGCUGAUUCCAAGGCUUCCAGAAUCUCUCACACAUAGCAAGUACCCCUGGUGUCCGUUUUUCUCACCUCUGAAUAUGAUGGACGAAGGAUUUCAAAGGUUCCUUGUAACCACACAAUUCUGCUUUUCUCUCCAGCAAU